AGAUCCGACUGCUAUCCGGGUAAGACUAAGCCAUGCAAGUCGAAUGGAACAGCUUGUUCCAUGGCGAACUGCUCAGUAACAAGUGAUUAACUUACCCUUCAGAAGUGCAUAACCUCGGGAAACUGAGGCUAAUUCACUAUAGUUGGAAAUGCCUGGAAUGGUUUUCCAUCGAAAGAUAUUUCUAAAUGCGGAAUGUUUGCUGAAGGAUAGGAUCGCUCUCGAUUAUGGUAGUUGGUGAGGUAAUGGCUCACCAAGCCUAUGAUCGAUAAGGGCCGUGAGAGCGGUAGCCCUGAGAUGGAUACUGAGACAAUGAUCCAGGCCUUACGAGGCGCAGCAGGCGCGAAACCUUUACAAUGCACGCAAGUGUGAUAAGGUUACCCGGAGUGCUAAAAGAAAAACUUUUAGCUGUUAUAGGUGUGUAAAUAACCCUAUGAGAAAGGAGAGGGCAAGGCUGGUGCCAGCCGCCGCGGUAAAACCAGCUCUUCAAGUGGUCGGGAAUAUUAUUGGGCUUAAAGUGUCCGUAGCCGGUUUGGUAAGUUCCUGGUUAAAUCUGGCAGCUUAACUGUCAGUCGGCUAGGAAUACUAUCUUACUAGAGGGUGGGAAAGGUUUGGGGUACUCCAGGGGUAGCGGUGAAAUGCGAUAAUCCUUGGGGGACCACCAGUGGCGAANGCGCCAGACUGGAACACGCCUGACGGUGAGGGACGAAAGCCANGGGAGCGAACGGGAUUAGAUACCCCGGUAGUCCUGGCCGUAAACGAUGCGUGCUANGUGUUGGUAGGGCUAUGANCUGUAUCAGUGCCGUNNGGAAACUGUUAAGCGCGCCGCCUGGGAAGUACGCUCGCAAGGGUG
rnacentral:rRNA from 1 species